GUGCUCGCUUCGGCAGCACAUAUACUAAAAUAGGAAGGAUGCAGAGAAGCUUAGCAUGGCUCCUGCUCAAGGAUGACACGCAAGUUCGUGAAGCCUCCCAUGUUUCU